rnacentral:rRNA from 1 species
UACGGAGGGGGUUAGCGUUGUUCGGAAUGACUGGGCGUAAAGCGCGCGUAGGCGGAUCAGGAAGUUGGGGGUGAAAUCCCGGGGCUCAAACCCGGAAUGGCCUUCAAAACUCCUGGUCUUGAGUUCGAGAGAGGUGAGUGGAAUUCCGAGUGUAGAGGUGAAAUUCGUAGAUAUUCGGAAGAACACCAGUGGCGAAGGCGACUUACUGGACACAUAUGACGCUGAGGUGCGAAAGCGUGGGGAGCAAACAGG